rnacentral:rRNA from 1 species
CGAGUGGCGGACGGGUGAGUAAUGUCUGGGAAACUGCCCGGUGGAGGGGGAUAACUACUGGAAACGGUAGCUAAUACCGCAUAACGUCGCAAGACCAAAGAGGGGGACCUUCGGGCCUCUUGCCACCGGAUGUGCCCAGAUGGAAUUAGCUUGUUGGUGAGGUAACGGCUCACCAAGGCGACGAUCCCUAGCUGGUCUGAGAGGAUGACCAGCCACACUGGAACUGAGACACGGUCCAGACUCCUACGGAAGGCAGCAG